AGGUUUUUGCAAAUGAGCCCGGGGAACCAUUUCUAAUAGGAUUUCCGCGAGAAAAUGUUCCCAAAUUUUAAACAACCAUCAUGCAUAUAAUCCAUUCAUGAGAUAAAGACUUCCCUUGCUUCUCCUGCCCAACAUCCCUCUGGCUCUCUUCCGCAGGUCAAGUUCAUGGACUCCUAUUUCCUAGGUCAAGGGCGAGGGGCCCCUGGUGUGGCUUAGGCUGGGCCACUUGGAUCUGGAUCUACCUGGGCAAGUCUGAUGGACGGACUGCCGAGGCCAACAUGUGGUCCAGGGGCCCAGCGCUUCUGUCCAGCGCGGGACCCUUCUGCUAGUCGUCUGUGCUCCAGAACCCCAGCGAGCAGCUCCUGGAAUUCAUUAAUCCUGUCUCCUUAGAGGCCUUUCUCCCCCCUGGCAUAUCAAGGCAUGAAGAGCGAGAGAGUGUGGUUCUCACAUUAGCUGGAGCAAGGAGUGUCACGGCUUCCUGGCCUUUUUGUUUCAACGGGCCCACCUUCGUCUUCCAUCCAAACGUUAGGGAAAUCUUACAGACGGCCCCUUUCCGGUUUUGCCCUGAGUGGGUGUUCGUCCGCUCCAGGCUGGGCGAAUCCCCACGGAGCUUCAUUUUCUCCAUCUCCUCUAAUUCCCAGCUGAGGGGGGGCUGGCACCAGACGCAGACUAUGUGGCUUCCCGACACACCAAAGGCAGGAGCCGGGCUUGUUGGGUAACCGGACCGGU
rnacentral:lncRNA from 1 species